AUUGAACGCUGGCGGCAUGCUUUACACAUGCAAGUCGAACGGCAGCGGGGUAGUGCUUGCACUACUGCCGGCGAGUGGCGAACGGGUGAGUAAUAUAUAGGAACGUCCCGAGUAAUGGGGGAUAACCAAUCGAAAGAUUGGCUAAUACCGCAUACGUCUUGAGGGAGAAAGCGGAGGAUCGCAAGACCUCGCGUUAUUCGCGCAGCCGAUAACGGAUUAGCUAGUUGGUGGGGUAAAGGCCUACCAAGGCGACGAUCAGUAGCGGGUCUGAGAGGACGAUCCGCCACACUGGGACUGAGACACGGCCCAGACUCCUACGGGAGGCAGCAGUGGGGAAUUUUGGACAAUGGGGGCAAGCCUGAUCCAGCCAUGCCGCGUGUAUGAUGAAGGCCUUCGGGUUGUAAAGUACUUUUGUUAGGGAAGAAAAAGGAAGUACUAAUACCACUUUUUGCUGACGGUACCUAAAGAAUAAGCACCGGCUAACUACGUG
rnacentral:rRNA from 1 species